rnacentral:tRNA from 1 species
ACGGUGGUGGAGAUCGGCACCGGUCUCAACACCCGCUACGAACGGGUGGACAACGAGCGGGCGCACUGGUUCGACCUCGAUCUGCCGGAC